GAAUUUCACUUUCACCUUCAUCCUUCCUACCUUCACCUUGCUCCUCCUCUAUUUGUUUUGCCUCCAUUGCCUCAUCUCUAAUUCUUCACAUUCCAUCUCCUCCCCUCCUUUGGUGUCUGCAACUGGGACCACUGGCAGGCACUCAGCCUUCAAUGUCUCCCGAUCGACAACCCUUAUUUUCACCUGGCACUUCGUCCGAUAGAUCUCCC
rnacentral:lncRNA from 1 species